rnacentral:rRNA from 1 species
CCUACGGGAGGCAGCAGUGAGGAAUAUUGGUCAAUGGGCGUAAGCCUGAACCAGCCAAGUCGCGUGAGGGAUGAAGGUUCUAUGGAUCGUAAACCUCUUUUAUAAGGGAAUAAAGUGCGGGACGUGUCCCGUUUUGUAUGUACCUUAUGAAUAAGGAUCGGCUAACUCCGUGCCAGCAGCCGCGGUAAUACGGAGGAUCCGAGCGUUAUCCGGAUUUAUUGGGUUUAAAGGGUGCGUAGGCGGCGUUUUAAGUCAGCGGUGAAAGUGUGUGGCUCAACCAUAGAAUAGCCGUUGAAACUGGGAGGCGUGAGUAUGUUUGAGGCAGGCGGAAGGCGUGGGGGAGCGGUG